CCCUUGUGUUCCAUUACAUUGCCAUUCUUCUCACGUUCUUGGCUUUUGGCUAAUUGCCAACAUACUUGGGCCUUGGGAGGUACUUUGGCCCAACAAAGUAGGGAAGCAUAGAGAAUACCUCGGUGUCCUCUAUCUCGUCCACUCACUGAUAACUAAAUUGUGAGCAUCCCCAGUGCUGUCGUUAUCAUUGACAAUAAUAAUGAUUUCAACCAUCAAAUGGAGAGCUCUUUUUUGCCCCAUCAAACUUCAGAUCCAGAUAAGAAGACUGAGGCUUUUGCAAGCUCCAGAGUAGCUGAGGGAGGAUCUGUAUGCAGGUCUUUUUGGCCCCAAGGGUUGUGGUGAAGCAAGAUAUGAUGAACCUGACCGUAUAGGCAUCAGUCCAUACACAUAGACACCACCAAUCCCGCUUGCCAAUUCUGUCAAGGGAAGGAUGUGUUCCUCAGGGCCAAGCUUGACUGUUAUAAUUAAAUAACAUUCUUUUUUG